AAGAUUAAAGGUAUCACUGGAUUUCACAUCUAAAUAAUUAAAAAAAAGAUUGGGAUUGUUUUCGUUGUUGUUGUUUCUGUUUUUGUUAUUAUUAAGUUAUUGAUGGUGAUGUCCAUGUUGUGUAUGUGUUGGGCAAUCAGAUCCCAAAUAGCAAUCAAUUGCUGGUAAUGUUGGACGCACUGAAAGUCUUGCUAAUAUUGACCGGUGCCUCAACCUAUUUGGUGACAAAGUAUGUUCGGGUGGGUAUUGGCGACAGAAACGAGACAUUGCCUU